GGGGAGCAAACAGGAUUAGAUACCCUGGUAGUCCACGCCGUAAACGAUGAGUGCUAAGUGUUAGGGGGUUUCCGCCCCUUAGUGCUGCAGCUAACGCAUUAAGCACUCCGCCUGGGGAGUACGACCGCAAGGUUGAAACUCAAAGGAAUUGACGGGGGCCCGCACAAGCGGUGGAGCAUGUGGUUUAAUUCGAAGCAACGCGAAGAACCUUACCAGGUCUUGACAUCCUUUGACCACUCUGGAGACAGAGCUUUCCCUUCGGGGACAAAGUGACAGGUGGUGCAUGGUUGUCGUCAGCUCGUGUCGUGAGAUGUUGGGUUAAGUCCCGCAACGAGCGCAACCCUUAAUUUUAGUUGCCAGCAUUUAGUUGGGCACUCUAAAGUGACUGCCGGUGCAAGCCGGAGGAAGGUGGGGAUGACGUCAAAUCAUCAUGCCCCUUAUGACCUGGGCUACACACGUGCUACAAUGGAUGGUACAAAGGGUAGCGAAGCCGCGAGGUGGAGCCAAUCCCAUAAAACCAUUCUCAGUUCGGAUUGUAGGCUGCAACUCGCCUACAUGAAGCCGGAAUCGCUAGUAAUCGUGGAUCAGCAUGCCACGGUGAAUACGUUCCCGGGCCUUGUACACACCGCCCGUCACACCACGAGAGUUUGUAACACCCGAAGUCGGUAGGGUAACCUUUAUGGAGCCAGCCGCCGAAGGUGGGACAGAUAAUUGGGGUGAAGUCGUAACAAGGUAGCCGUAUCGGAAGGUGCGGCUGGAUCACCUCCUUUCUAAGGAA
rnacentral:rRNA from 1 species